UACGUAGGGUGCGAGCGUUGUCCGGAAUUAUUGGGCGUAAAGAGCUCGUAGGCGGUUUGUCGCGUCUGCUGUGAAAACUCGGGGCUUAACCCCGGGCCUGCAGUGGGUACGGGCAGACUAGAGUGCGGUAGGGGAGACUGGAAUUCCUGGUGUAGCGGUAAAAUGCGUAGAGAUGUGGAGGAACACCAAUGGCGAAGGCAGCCUUCUGGGCCAACACUGACGCUCAUGCACGAAAGCGUGGGGAGCAAACAGG
rnacentral:rRNA from 1 species